rnacentral:rRNA from 1 species
CAGUCGCCGCGGUAAUACGAAGGGGGCUAGCGUUGUUCGGAAUUACUGGGCGUAAAGCGCACGUAGGCGGAUAUUUAAGUCAGGGGUGAAAUCCCAGAGCUCAACUCUGGAACUGCCUUUGAUACUGGGUAUCUUGAGUAUGGAAGAGGUGAGUGGAAUUCCGAGUGUAGAGGUGAAAUUCGUAGAUAUUCGGAGGAACACCAGUGGCGAAGGCGGCUCACUGGUCCAUUACUGACGCUGAGGUGCGAAAGCGUGGGGAACAAACAGGAUUAGAUACCCCGGUAGUCCCUGUCUCUUAUAC